GGCAGUGUUGGUAAGAGAGCUGAGCAGGUUAAGCACUGGUGCCAAACCCGAGGACCCAGGGCUGAUCCUGCAACUCACCAGGAGCAGGAGAGAGCUGACUCCAAGUUGUCCGAGGCCACUGUCAUGAAAUCCCUUUCUACCGAAAAUAGAUGCUUAAAAACUUUUAAAAACCAAACAGACGUAUGCCUACACAGGAGCCAUUGACUGAAAGCUGUUGCUCAGGAGCAGCUUAACGGUCGCUUUCUUUUUUGUGGUUCCAAGCUCUACCAACCUUUUAAAGGCUAUCGAGGAGCUAUCUCACAGCGAGUUAGUGGCUUCUUCGGAGCACAGAGGAAGUCCUAAAAGGAAUUCAUUUAGUAGCAAUUCCAAGAACAGCGUUCAUGAAAAUCACAGAGGAAAGUAGCCUGUCCACCAUGUAUGAGAUAAAGUUAUGAGCUUCUAAAAGGAGAAGGCCGGAUGAACACCAGGAUCCCUGCCUGUUUCCUGCUCCACCUCGAUGGCAUUGAAGGUCGCAAUGUGCUCCCACAUGUCAUCCUGCUUGCUGCAGUGUGGUUGCCAGAGGAGGGCAUCGACGUCAUGGCGCAGACAGAAGCAAGGCAUUUCUUUAGGAUCCACAACGACUGAGAACAGGGUCCAUGCACUGCUUUCGUGGUCAAUAGAUGAAUACAGUCUUCCUCCCAGGACCUGGACACCCUUCAGCGUAAUGGUGAUGCUCUCAGGCAAAAACUGGAUUUGAAUGUCUUCCUUAGCACAGUUUUCGGGGAGCCUUACUGUUACUGUCAAGUCGUCCUCAGUUUGUUGCCAGUAAUACAGAGGUUCCACUGGACCAAGAAAAUGCAUUACGUAACAAAAAUUAGACACAGCAUACAGACUUAGACCUCAGGCCUCUAAGAGGCCACCUAUCCAAGUCAAUCAGUGUAUUUCCUAGGAGCAUCCCUCUCACACACACACGAAUUGUGAACACGCAGACUUCAGGGAAUCUGACAGACUUGAAACAAAUGCACAGGAUAGUGUCCUCCUCCAGGCUCACCCAUACAUUCAGAGAUGGGCACUGGGCACUCAUAAAACUACUGACAGCCGUCCCUUAUGUACUUCAAUCUCUGACUCUCUUUACUGUUCCCCUUCUUCUUCCUCUAAGUUACAACACACACACACACACACACACACACACACACACACACACACACACGCAUGCACGCACGCACGCACGCAUGUACACCAGUCUCCCUUAAAUGCGAAUAUGCCAGUUUACUCAAUAUAAUCCCAUAAUGAAUAACUUCUGACAAUGAGGGUAAGAGGAACCUGUAAAAUUAUGUUUUUAGUGAAAAUAGACUAAAGACAAUCCAGAAUUUCCGAACCCUUUAUCAUGGAGUAUCUACAGUUCCCCCAUUUCUGUGUGGUGAAGGUCAAACUUGGGGCUCUCACACGCUACGCCAGCCUCCCACCACUAGGCCGUCUCAGACCUUUCUGACUGUGGGUGCCUCGAGGUGUCAUCCUGUGCCUUUAGAGACUAGGAUUACAUGUUUACAAGAAAACCGUAAUUAUUUGUCUUACUAUGAAGAUACCAAAUAGUCCAUAGUUACCAUUUUUCCUGAGGUUUACAGGAAAUGAAACCAGUUUCUAUUCUCAGAAGUGUUAAGAAUGUUAAUCAAGCACAUGUAAUUUAAAUAUGCCCCCCUUUUCCUUUACUAUUGUGAAAAUAUCACAGGCAAUCAUUAAUAAAUUGCAAAGGAAUUCAAGAUGUAACAUGAAGCUUCAACAGGAAAAAUCACAGUUGGACACAAACACACACAGUGCUCUGCUGGGACUGGAUUUGCCCUGGUCCCAACAUAGACAUCCCAGUGAUGAAGGCUCGCCUGCCUGCCUGCCUGCCUGCCUGCCUGCGCAGCUGCUCAGUGAAUGAGUUCUGAGGGCAGCAGGCUUGAUAUAUGAGCACUGACUUGGUGAAGGCUUUAACACAUUGAGCAAUGAAAUAAGGUUAGUGGAUGUAUCUGGAGGAAGUCCAAGUCUCGCAAACAAUGUUUGUGAGGAAACCAAGUGGGAAGGAAGAGAAGAGAAGGCCAAAGGCACAGCUCUUUUUCUGUCUGGAGCCUCGCACAUUCAUAAGUCUGGGGAAGUAAUUCUGAACAAUGAUUAUGUUAGUAUUGUUAAAUAUGUUUUGAAGGACUCACUUUUUAAAAAAAAAAGUACACAAAUAUACUGA